UAUUUCAGUGCCUGCGAACUGUCGACGAAACCACACGCCAACGGAGUGCAUUUUGUUUAUAUUUAGUGCCAUUUGUGUAAAACUGUGAUAUGGAAGGGGACGCGAAUAAUGAUGCAGUACGUGACGAGGUCGUCGGAGAAGUCAUCCAUAAUGAUAUCAGAAUAGGUGUGGCAGGGUCGGUUGAGCGAGUGGUUGGCUCGGCAACCGGUACAGCGGUGGGGGCGGCCGUGGGGGCUCUGACCGGCGGCCCGGCGGGCGCCCUCGUCGGCGGCGUUGUCGGAUACGUUGUCUGCCGUCAAGCCGUCAGGAACGAUCACCAGGACUGACGUAGGAUGCGCAGACGCUGUAUGCUAACAUAUUGUGGACACAUUACAUACGGAAUGCUAGACAGAAAGAUAUAAAUCUAUAUAUAUGUAUAGAGAUAACGAACGAUAAGUGUGAGCAUCUGUCGCUUAGAACUACUUAGGUAUAAAUUAAGUGUUUGUAUUACAAUAGUGAAAUAAAUGUAUUGUGUUACACAAUUAAAUGUAUAUAACUCAAUCGA